rnacentral:rRNA from 1 species
GACGAACGAGGGAGGAGGGAGGAACACAUGCAAGUCGAACGGAAAGGCCCUGCUUUUGUGGGGUGCUCGAGUGGCGAACGGGUGAGUAACACGUGAGUAACCUGCCCUUGACUUUGGGAUAACUUCAGGAAACUGGGGCUAAUACCGGAUAGGAGCUCCUGCUGCAUGGUGGGGGUUGGAAAGUUUCGGCGGUUGGGGAUGGACUCGCGGCUUAUCAGCUUGUUGGUGGGGUAGUGGCUUACCAAGGCUUUGACGGGUAGCCGGCCUGAGAGGGUGACCGGCUACAUUGGGACUGAGAUACGGCCCAGACUCCUACGGGAGGCAGCAGUGGGGAAUAUUGCACAAUGGGCGGAAGCCUGAUGCAGCAACGCCGCGUGCGGGAUGACGGCCUUCGGGUUGUAAACCGCUUUCGCCUGUGACGAAGCGUGAGUGACGGUAAUGGGUAAAGAAGCACCGGCUAACUACGUG